rnacentral:rRNA from 1 species
UUAUGGCUCAGGAUGAACGCUAGGCGAUAGGCUUAACACAUGCAAGUCGAGGGGCAGCACGGUGUAGCAAUACACGUGGUGGCGACCGGCGUACGGGUGCGUAACACGUAUGACAACCUACCGCUAUUGGGGGAUAACCCGGCGAAAGUCGGACUAAUACCCAUAUUAUUCUUACCGGGCAUCCGGUAGGUCUGAAAGAUUUAUCGAUUGCGGAUGGGCAUGCGGAUGAUUAGCUAGUAGGUGGGGUAACGGCUCACCUAGGCGACGAUCAUUAGGGGUUCUGAGAGGAAGGUCCCCCACACUGGAACUGAGACACGGUCCAGACUCCUACGGGAGGCAGCAGUGAGGAAUAUUGGUCAAUGGGCGCUAGCCUGAACCAGCCAAGUCGCGUGAAGGAUGACAAGAUCUAUGGUUUGUAAACUUCUUUUGCAGGGGAGUAAAGUGCGACACGUGUGUUGUAUUGCAAGUACCCUGCGAAUAAGCAUCGGCUAACUCCGUGCCAGCCGCAGC